rnacentral:rRNA from 1 species
UACGUAGGGGGCUAGCGUUGUCCGGAAUCAUUGGGCGUAAAGCGCGUGUAGGCGGUCCGGUAAGUCCGCUGUGAAAGUCGGGGGCUCAACCCUCGGAUGCCGGUGGAUACUGUCGGGCUCGAGUACGGAAGAGGCGAGUGGAAUUCCUGGUGUAGCGGUGAAAUGCGCAGAUAUCGAGAGGAACACCUGCGGCGAAGGCGGGUUGCUGGGCUGACACUGACGCUGAGGCGCGAAAGCCAGGGGAGCGAACGGG